rnacentral:misc_RNA from 1 species
UGCAUCCAGAGUUCCACUGUUCUAUGG